rnacentral:rRNA from 1 species
GUAGGUGGCAAGCGUUGUCCGGAAUUAUUGGGCGUAAAGCGCGCGCAGGCGGUUCUUUAAGUCUGAUGUGAAAGCCCACGGGCUCAACCGUGGAGGGUCAUUGGAAACUGGAGAACUUGAGUACAGAAGAGGAAAGCGGAAUUCCACGUGUAGCGGUGAAAUGCGUAGAGAUGUGGAGGAACACCAGUGGCGAAGGCGGCUUUCUGGUCUGUAACUGACGCUGAGGCGCGAAAGCGCGGGGAGCAAACAGGAUUAGAUACCCUGGUAGUCCACGCCGUAAACGAUGAGUGCUAAGUGUUAGGGGGUUUCCGCCCCUUAGUGCUGCAGCUAACGCAUUAAGCACUCCGCCUGGGGAGUACGGCCGCAAGGCUG